UAAUGGAAUUUAGGGCUUAGGCGUUUCCAGGAAAAAACAAGGACAGACUCCUGAUCACCAAAGGCACACUUAACGACUUCCUCUUUCAAAUUAAGAUGUACUUGGCUUGGAACACAAUGCUAGUGUUCUGGCACUUGUCCUUCCAUCCUGUACAACGAAUUGGGCACGAACUCCAUGCAUCUUCUUGGAUGCCAUAAGUGACCUCCUCCUUGCUCUGUAGGGUACCACCCUGCCUGUGGCAAGUAACUUCUCUGCUUCUUCAUCUUUGUAGAAAUGCACGUUGGCCUUCCCAACACCCAAGGAGCAAAUGUUGCACCGAGAACUACCUGGGAGUUGCUUAGUGGAGUGCCAGUGAAAAGAUGAGUCCCUAGGCAGAGGGUCCUGAACUGUGUAAAAGUAGAGAAAUUGAGCCGACUACAAGCAAGCAAACCACUGAAAAGAUCCUGUCUCUUAUUGAAUCUGGAAUUCUCUGAUUCAACUAGAACAGCUGACCAGCAAACCAAGGGAUUUUCCUGUCACCAUGGGAUUACAGGAAUGGGUCAUUGCUGUUGGCUUUGUAUGUGGGGUCUUCUGGGGAAUCAAACUCAUGUCCCCAUGUCUGCACAGCAAGUAGCUUACUGACUGAACCACUCUCCGGCACUCAACUCCAUUUUUAAGACAUGAAUGCAAAUGAGACACUGAGGUACCAAGACCUUCGUCUUGACAAGGCAAGACGAAGCUAUGAGCCAGGCUGGCUGCAGCUCAAGAGGCUGACACAGGAAACAAUCCACUAAGAUACUGUUUGACCUGGGCCUUAUGAUCAGAGUAGGUAGAAUUAGUGGGAGAGGCAAGGCUGGCAGCGGAGUAUUCUAGACACCUAGAGUAGAGACAGGGAGCGUUGAGCCUGAGGGAGCAAGGGCUCCAGCUCCUGAAGGAGAAGCUGCUUGUGAGACAGAUGUGAACUUAAAUCCUAGUUACAUCACUGGAAGCUUCUCUAAGCUCUUUGAGUCUCAGAAUCUCCGCUCAUAAGAGGGGUGUGAGGGGAAAUUAUGGUGAAAAUUGCAGUAGCCAGAUCUUAGUAGGUAUACCAGAUAUGGCAGGUUUUGUUCAUCUUUUUGUGUGCCUCUUGUCUUUUUGGCUUUUAUAAUUUGGGGGAGGGUGUUUUGUUUUCAUUUUGUUUUGGUGAAAGGAGGUGAAACUGAAAGGCAGGACGGGGCCAGAUCAGGACAGGCUGUUUAAAAUGCAUGUCACAGAUUUUGAUUUGGAUAUAUUUCACAUGCUAGGAGGAUCCAGGAAGGGAUUUUAAAAGGAGGAGGGGGUGUGACCCGGUCUGUUUAGUCUUUGAAAGCAUCUCAUAAGUUGUCAUGGUGCAGAGAGAAGAUUGGGGUUAAAGAAACAGGAAAGUCAGUGGUGCAGGUGGAAGGUGAGAGAGACUGGGGCCAUUGUAGAAGGAAACGGACAGACCCAAAAGAUGUUCAGGACAAAUGAGCUAACUACAGUUCUCUUGAGGGUGAGGCCGAGGGAAGAGAGGACAUGGGGGCUGACUCUCAGGUUUCUGGCUUAGCGGUUGGGAGACUACUGCUUCCCAGACUCUGAGCCUCAGCCCCAGGAGACAGGGAUGAUUGGGAACGUCUGAGGUUUAGGCAUGCUACUCAUGCUGGAGGGGAAAGCUGCUCAUGAGAGCUACUGGGCAGCCUGGCUUCAAACUUGCCAUGGGGGAUUCAGGUGAGCCCUGGCCUUGGCUGAUCACCUGCUUCCUGAAGAGCUUUCCAAGCCCUCGUCUGUCAGGGCCACGAAGGGGAAAUCAGCCUCGGAAAAAGGGGAGAGAAAAGAACAAUCUACUCCAGGAAGCAGGGGAAGGAAGCUCAGAGGUAACCGACCUGCACAAGGCCCUGAUCUGUUGACCCAGUCGGCAAAAAGGAGGCAAGAUCUAUUGCACUUCUAUGAUAGACUUAGAAAACACCCGCCUUAGGGCUAUUGGUUGCUCUGGGCUGAUUCUGUACUGCACCCAGCAGUACACUGGAAGGGGGUUUAUCAGAAUUUCUCAUCAGUAAUGACCGUUGCUGAGGGGUCCGAGGUGCAUCAUCAUUUUCAGCACUCAGUUCUACCACACGUCUAACCCAGCUCACUCUCAGAUCCCACGAGCCCCUAGAGUUCAUAUGCAUGUCAUGAGCUCAUCCCUUCCCUCUCCACGCCUGCAUCAACCCAGCUUCAGGGCAGCAUGCUUCACCAUUCGCCUCUACAGAAGCGAAUGUCCUAUCUUGCCUCCCCUCUUCAGCCCAGUCUUCACACUGUAGCCAGAGCAAUCUUUAAAGCUUCAUCUCUAACUCUUCUUAAAUCCACCCAUAACUGACUGUCAGAACUUGUGUGACCCAUUUCCUCUGGCCCCAGCAUGCACAGGGCUCUCCACUCACACACAGCCACAGCCAUCUUUGCAGGCGCUGGUGGGGAGUGGGGGGGGGGGGAGAGACAUCUUCCCGUCUGUUCUCACAUUAUCCUCAGAAUUUCUGAAGUGAUCUUUGGCUGAAGUGAGGACAUGGACAGGGAGAUAGACCAACCUCCUAAUCCCAAAAGUGGGGAUGAAGUUGGCCUCUUUCUCCUCACGAUUCUAGAACUAGGGUGGGGCUCAAAGAAACAGCGUGCAGUAGCGUCAUCAGGAAAAGUCUUCAGGACUUGGGAGCCAGGUGGGACAGAUAGCUGCAGUUCGAAGCAAGUCCUGAGUAGGGAGCCAAGCUUCAGUGGACGGCAGAGACUGGCAAUGUUGGUAAACGGGGGUGGGGGAGGAUCUGAGAGGAGAUUUUGCUCCAGAACAAUCUGUGCUAUUUCCCGUGAACACUUGGGGUUUCUUUUUGUGGAUUCGCUCAGCUUUUACAGACUUCCCUUCACAGUCCCGCCAGAGUCCAGCAAACUGCACAAAGAAGUCUUAUCCCUGUUUCUCCAGCAGGUGGCAGCUAUGCCCGGGACUCAGUACCUGCAGAAAGCUAGGCGCCUGCCUGCCUGUUCCACUCUGGCGGUCGCUGCUGCCCCUGGCAAGCGCAGAGGAGAAAUUGAUGGCAUGGAUGUUGCCGGGGCUAGCCAACAGUGCCAUUGAUUUUCAUUUAGGAGGAUAAUUAAAUAUUAAUUUUCACUUUGUUAAGUUGAGAAGGGGGAAUAAAGCCAAUGUUGGCAGUAACAGAGGAAGCCAAGCCACACUGGAGGUUUGCAGAAGGAAGGAUGGUAGAGGGCAGAAGUCCUCAAUUGCUAUACUCUCCAGAAACUAAGAGCCCGUCUGCUACCAAGUUUUCUCAUGAACUAGUGGAGUGAUUGAGUGAGUAGACUAACUGGGCUCAGAGACAUGAACUUGGGCAGUUCACUUUAAGACUCAGUCUUCUCAUCUGUAAGAUGGGGGUACCAAUAACAAUACCUUCUUCACAAAGGAUUAAAUGACUUGGUACACAUAAAACGCCAUGAACAUUGGAGCUGAUGACUGUUGGUUAGAACCAUUUUGCUCUUCUCCUUUAGAAAUCUUACAAGGUCUCUGGAGCUUUGCCAUCCUUUUCUAAGGAGUCCCAAUUCUUAUAAAGCCCCAGUGGUACUGUCCAUUUCUUUGGAAGUCUUUUCUCCCCAAAGCUCAUCUUAAUUUACUCAGGGCUUUCCCAGUGAAGUCCAAAUCUCCAAAUCUUGCACCUUUUCCCCCUUCAACCGUAGCCCUCCAUAGGAUUCUGCCCCACUCUGGCCCAGGCUCUCUUGGACCCUCCCCUGUGGGUCCAACAGCUUCACACCCACCUGUUCCUUCCAGCUCUGAAUUUUUUAAAAAGAUUUUAUUUAUUAUUUAUUAUAUGUAAGUACACUGUAGCUGUCUUCAGACACUCCAGAAGAGGGAGUCAGAUCUCAUUACGGAUGGUUGUGAGCCACCACGUGGUUGCUGGGAUUUGAACUCUGGACCUUCGGAAGAGCAGUCGGGUACUCUUACCUGCUGAGCCAUCUCACCAGCCCCAGCUCUGAAUUUUUAUCGCACAGUUUCCUGCAUGGGUGUUCCAGCUUGUCUCAAUGCCUGUGCUUGCAGCAGGAACCAUUUGCUCCCACGGUUAGGUGAAUGAUGCUUUCUACGAUGGCUCCUACUAACGUUUCUGUUUCAUUUACUACUGCUACUACCACUAGCUAACCCAGACCGUGUGCUUACAUUUUGCUGUGCUAUGUACUUCACACGCCUAAGCUCAUCACCCAUGAAUUCAGUCUUACAGAUGAAGAAACACGGGUGUUUUAUCUUAUUUUUUGAAACAAAGUCUCACUAUAUAAGCCUGGUUGUCUUGUUACUUGAUAUAUAGACCAGGUUGGACUCAGAGAGCUCUGCCUGCCUUUGCCUCCAAAGUGCUGGCAUUAAAGGUGUGUCCAGCAACACUCGGGUUUUAGACUUGCCCAGGAUCACAGAGUUGGUGAGUUCAUGGAAAGUUCUGAUUUGUAAAAUAAAGCUGAAAUGGGUACCUGGUUCUUAUUCUAAUUGAUCUUGUUCUCGACACCUGGGACUUCUACAGAAAAUCAGAUCCUUUGUCAGGAUCUUAAGGCAACAGUCACAUUUACUGGGACUUUCCUUACUACAGUCUGAUGAACUAAGAUCUUAGUACAACCCACUCCCAACAGAGGAGAAAACUGAAGCUUGAAUUGAAGGAAUUAUAGAAGAGACAUAGAUGAUAUUCAGAUCUAAGUCUGAAAGACUAAAACCAAGUAUCUUUAAUUAUCAUGUUAUGAUGCCUUCGUGUUAGAAUCCCAUUAAAUUCUUCUUUCCCAGAUAUACAUCUGAGAUCUACUUGAACACAUCUCAUGAUAUGUUUUGCAUCUUUGUGCCUUUAUUCUAUUCUGGUCUCUUUAUAGACCAAUGAAUUUCUUAAGUCUGGAAUAGACAUUGUCCCAGACUUUGCCUACUCAUGACACCUGAAUGUCUCCUAGGAGAAAAUGAGGCUGGGAGCCUUGGUUUCCUCUUGGCAACCAAUGCUUGACCCUAACUGUCACCAUGACACAAAUGGUAGGUUCUGAUUUUCCUUUGCUUGUGACCAUCCAUUAAUUGAGACCAGAUCAUAAAAUCCCAAGUGCCUAUAAAAUCAAGAAGUAUCUUUUAACUUUAGUUAUGUUUAUAAUAUGGAGUGAAGACAAUUUAGGUGAGUCAAGGCACCCCAAAAGUAUUACAGGAAAAAGUCCACAGGAAAGUCCCAUCCAGGAGCACAAGAGUGGAGACAACAUGGAGCGACAGACAUGCUCACAGGAGUGACAACAAUACCCAAAACCACGAUUUUAGUCAAAGUGGAAA